rnacentral:rRNA from 1 species
AAGUCCCGUAACGAGCGCAACCCUUGUCCUUAGUUGCCAGCAUUAAGUUGGGCUCUCUAAGGAGACUGCCGUGGUGAACACGGAGGAAGGUGGGGAUGACGUCAAGUCCUCAUGGCCUUUAUAUCCAGGGCGACACACGUGAUACAAUGGAUGGUACAGAGGGAAGCCAAAGCGCAAGCUGGAGCCAAUCUCAAAAAGCCAUUCUCAGUUCGGAUUGGAGUCUGCAACUCGACUCCAUGAAGUUGGAAUCGCUAGUAAUCGCGGAUCAGCACGCUGCGGUGAAUACGUUCCCGGGCCUUGUACACACCGCCCGU